AUAAUAAUAUUAAUAAUAAUAAUAAUAAUAAUAAUAAUAUUAAUAAUAAUAAUAAUAAUAUUAUUAAUAAUAAUAAUAAUAAUAAUAAAAGUAAUAAUAAUAAUAAUAAAAGUAAUAAAAAAAAUAAAAAUAGUAAAGUGAAAAAAAUGAUAAAUAAAAAAAAAGAAAAUUCGUUUACAAACAUAGAUAAAGAUAUAAAUUAUGGUAUACAAUUAACAAAUCUAAACGAAUCGAUGCAUAAUGUAUAUAUGUAUGGUCUCAAUUUUGAAUAUGACAAAAAUAGUACUACUACGCCCCAUAUGAAUCAUUAUCUUAGAUUAUUCCCAGAUGAAAAGUUUCAAAUGAAAUAUGAAUUUUUAGAAAAUGUUAAUAACUUAAACACUGUAUUUAAUUUUAAUAAUGAAUUUUUAUUUUUUUUAUGUAACUUUAGUAAAAGUGAAGAUAUAAAUUAUGAUACGAUGUUAUCCUUCUUAAAUGAAAUACAAACAAAGUUAAGUAAUAAUAUAAAACAAAAAUAUACAAAUAUAUUUUUACAAACACAUAAUAUUGAUGAUACUGUUUCUAUAAUUGGUUAUGUAAUUAAUAUACUUAAUAAUAAUAAAAAAAUUUUAAAUAAAUUAAAUCAAUUAGAAUAUAAAUUUUAUUAUGAUUAUAUAAAAAUCAAAAAUAAAAAAAAAACAGAUACAACUGGUAUUGACCUUAAUUCUAAUGAAGUACUACAUGGGAAGUCAAAUGGAUCUUAUACAUUCGAAUCCCAUUCUACUGAAAAUUGUUUAAAAGUUGAAAAUGGGGAAAAUGGCAAAAAUGGUACAGAAGUUACGAUUGACAGCACAAGUGUUACAUCAUUUACAACCGGUUUGGUAAAAUUUAAUGGAAUGGGAGAAGAUGAAGAUACACGAAUUGAUAAUCUCGAUAACGAAUUAUUACAUGAUACAUUGGAUGAAAAAAAGGAAUCUUAUAAAAGUCUGUUUCAAACAGCUCUAGCGAAUAAGUUAGCACAAGAUUAUAAUAAAACUGGUACAGUUACAAAAACGGGUUCAAAUACAGUUACAGAUACAGCUACAGUUAUAGUUACAGAAACAAGUACAGCUACAAACGAAGGCGCAAAUGACAAUUUUUUUACCGAAACCAGUGAUUCCAAUAAUAAUACUGAAAAAUAUUAUAUCGAUACAAAUUCCUAUUUGAUAAAAAAAAAUAAUGAUGAUAAAACAAUGAAAAAUAUGAUAAAUAGUAAUAAACAUGAACAAAGAAAAAAUUCUGCUUAUUCUGAAAAUCAAAGUUUUGUUGCUAAUAAAUUGGAUGAACUUAUAAAAUGUACAAUAAAACAUGAAAAUAUAAUAUAUGGUGAUAAUUUUUUAUAUAAUAAAUAUAAAAACAUGAGUGAAAAAGAUUUAUAUAAAAAUUAUAUACCAAAUAAAGUGUAUAAAUGUGAAAAUUAUAUAAAUGAAUUUAAAAAAGAUGUUAAAGAAGAUAAUUCUUUUAUAAUUAACAAACUUAUGCAUGAUCAAACAGAUACAGAACAGAAUACAAUUAUAAGCGAGAAUAAUGACGAAGGUCUUUCUAUACAAAACUUUAAAAUGUUUUUUAAAAAAGUUAAUUAUAUUCAUAAUGUUAAUGAAAAGGAUUUUAACGAGGAUAAGAAAAAAUUGAGUAUUUCGGAUCAUCUGACAUAUAGUACUAGUACCAACAACAAUAACAAUGAUACUUAUACUUUGGAAGUAAAUGGUGAACAUUUUACUACUUCAGAAACUGGUAUAGUAUUGAAUAAACACGAAAAUAAAGAAAAAAAUAAAAAUAAAGAAAAAAUUGAUAAUAAAGAAAAAAAUGAUAAUAAAGAAAAAAAUGAAAAUAAUGAAAAUAAAGAGAAUGAUGAAAAUAAUGAAAAUAAAGAGAAUGAUAAAAAUAAAG
ensembl:lncRNA